UACAGAGGUCCCAAGCGUUGUUCGGAUUCACUGGGCGUAAAGGGUGCGUAGGUGGUAGGGUAAGUUUGAUGUGAAAUCUCCGGGCUUAACCCGGAAACUGCAUUGAAUACUAUCUUACUCGAGGUUUGGAGGGGGGACUGGAAUUCUCGGUGUAGCAGUGAAAUGCGCAGAUAUCAGGAGGAACACCGGUGGCGAAGGCGGUUCUCUGGGCCUGUUCUGACGCUGAGGAGCAAAAGCGUGGGGAGCGAACAGG
rnacentral:rRNA from 1 species